GAGCACACAGAUUUACAGACAGAUACAGAGGAGUCUAUUAUGAAGGUGAAAUGCAGUCAAAUGUGACGGUGUUGCCGGUGAUGCCUGGUGAGGACCUGCCUUACAACAGGCCUACAAGCCUUCAGUCCAGCCUCUCUCAGCCUAUUGCAGACAGUCUGAGCACUGAUGGAGGGAUUGUGCGUUCCUGCUGUAGCCCGGGAAGUUGUUGUUGCCAUCCUCUACCUGUCCAGCAGAGCCCCAUGGUCAACUUGCUCUUCUCAACCCCUUGGGUUGUGCCGUGGCGUAGAUCUUUGUGGGCUAUACUCGUCCUUGUCUCAGGAUGGUAAGUUGGUGGUUGAAGAUAUCCCUCUAGUGGUGUGGGGGCUGUGCUUUGGCAAAGUUGUUGGGGUUAUAUCCUUCCUGUUUGGCCCUGUCCGAGGGUGUCAUCGGAUGGGGCCACAGUGUCCCCUGACCCCUCCUGUCUCAGCCUCCAGUAUUUAUGCUGCAGUAGUUUAUGUGUCAGG
ensembl:lncRNA